UGAGGAAUAUUGGACAAUGGAUGGAAAUCUGAUCCAGCCAUGCCGCGUGCAGGAAGACGGCCCUAUGGGUUGUAAACUGCUUUUGUAUGGGAGCAAUAAGGUCUACGUGUAGGCUGAUGAGAGUACCAUACGAAUAAGGACCGGCUAACUCCGUGCCAGCAGCCGCGGUAAUACGGAGGGUCCGAGCGUUAUCCGGAUUUAUUGGGUUUAAAGGGUGCGUAGGCGGUUUUAUAAGUCAGCGGUGAAAUUCUCCGGCUCAACCGGGGGACUGCCGUUGAUACUGUAAGGCUAGGAUAUGGUUGCUGUGGGUGGAAUGUGUGGUGUAGCGGUGAAAUGCUUAGAGAUCACACAGAAUAUCGAUUGCGAAGGCAGCUCACAAAGCCAUCAUUGACGCUGAGGCACGAAAGUGUGGGGAUCAAACA
rnacentral:rRNA from 1 species